ensembl:lncRNA
GUAAAACCCCCUACUGAAGUAUGCCACAAGAAAAACUGCUUCUAGCUUCUUACCUUAUUUCAGGUUUUGAUAAAGAUUUAUAAUAUUGGUAUAUAAUGCAUACAUGUUCACAUAGGAGAUAAAUAUGAAUCAUAUGCAUAUGCCACAACUUUUCAAUGGAGGCACUAGUACUGAGACUCGUGGUGUUACUAUGGUAACGAUUCAGCGCGAGGUGAGUGCCACAGAAAACAUGUUCAGGUCUACAAGCUUAAGUAACAUUAACCAAGACAGAAGAAUAAUGUCAUACUCUGAUGAAGAUGAGCUUUUGAAAGCAGAGAAAGAGGAUGAAGAAGGACAGGGAGAGAGAGAUGAUCUUGAAAUAAAAGAGAAGGAGAUUUCAGGACAAGAGAAUCAGCUGGACAAGGAUCCCAUCACUGCUGGAGAGAAGUCUGAGGCACAAGAAAGGGAAUUUGAAGAUGGAUAUGCUGAAGAUCAAGAGGAUUACUGAAUAGGCUGUGCUACAUUGAAUAUACUUGUUAAUUUCAUAUUCAGUAAAGUUUACUAUCACGCA